rnacentral:rRNA from 1 species
AGACUUUGAUCCUGGCUCAGGACGAACGCUGGCGGCGUGCCUAACACAUGCAAGUUGAACGGACCGACAUACCGGAACCUUCGGGGGAAGGUGUGAAAGGUUAGUAGCGGACGGGUGAGUAACACGUGGGCAAUCUGCCCUUUAGACUGGGAUAACACCGGGAAACCGGUGCUAAUACCGGAUACGAUCCAACCCUGGCAUCUGGGUUGGAUGAAAGGAGGCCUCUCUAUAGAAGCUCCCGCUAAAGGAUGAGCCCGCGGCCCAUUAGCUGGUUGGUAGGGUAAUGGCCUACCAAGGCGACGAUGGGUAGCCGGCCUGAGAGGGUGAACGGCCACACUGGGACUGAGACACGGCCCAGACUCCUACGGGAGGCAGCAGUGGGGAAUAUUGCGCAAUGGGGGAAACCCUGACGCAGCAACGCCGCGUGAACGACGAAGGCCUUCGGGUCGUAAAGUUCUGUCAAGUGGGACGAAGUCUUAACGGUUAACAGCCGUAGAGGUGACGGUACCUAAAGAGGAAGUACCGGUGAAA